UACAGAGGUCUCAAGCGUUGUUCGGAUUCAUUGGGCGUAAAGGGUGCGUAGGCGGCUUCUUAAGUCUGGUGUGAAAGCCCAGGGCUCAGCUCUGGAAGUGCACUAGAAACUGAGGAGCUUGAGUACCGGAGGGGAGAGUGGAAUUCCUGGUGUAGCGGUGAAAUGCGUAGAUAUCAGGAGGAAUACCGGUGGCGAAAGCGACUCUCUGGACGGUUACUGACGCUGAGGCACGAAAGCGUGGGGAGCAAACAGG
rnacentral:rRNA from 1 species